CUCUCCCUCUCCCUCUCUCAUUCCCUCUCCCUCUCGACUGCAACCCUUGAGCGACGCACCCCCUUCACCCGAGCGAAAAUCCACCCCUGCGGCCCCCCACCCUUCACCUCUUCUCCGUCUCUCCUCUCUGACCAGGUCUUUCGAUCUUCCUCUAUUCAAUUGAUCCAGUGUCGAUUGACAUUUACAGACAGUUGACUCAAAGAAUGUUGUUGCCUUGCCUGCUGAUCUAGUUGCUGAAGUUGUUGCUGUCUCUGGAGCUCCUGUAGUUGCUUGUGCAUGACUUACUGUUGCCACAAUUGCAUAUCGUUUAAACCCAUCUGGUGGGUCAUUAAAAGCAGCCAACAAAUGUUUUAUUUUCUCCUCUUUAAUUCAAUUAUAUUUGCUGACCAAUUGAAAAGGAGUUUUGAGUCUCAGGGUUCAAGAUUGAAGAAUUCAAGAAUUGAAUUAUCUGUCAUGUUUGGCAGCCUUUAAUCAGAAUCCUCCAAAAUGUGUAUUAGAUUAUAAUUGUGAUUCAUUGCAGUAGUGCAUUCCAAUGCACCCCGAGUAAGUUUCUUGGCUGACAUGUAAUCUUUAUGUAUUUCACUAUUUAGUGGUUACCCUGAUUGUAUGUAUAUCUUUCAUCUAUGUGUGUGUGUGUGUGUGUACACACACAUUGACAUGAAAAUUCCUAGAUUUGACAGAGGCAUCAUUAUCAGGUGCAACAAUAUCCAUUUUAGCAGCACUUACAAUGAUGUUUUUCUUCUGAAUGGUAUGUUUUACUUGUACAUUUUCUUCUUAAGUAAUUAACAGUAUUUAUAAAUCGAUACAUGCUUCAUUCUUCUUGCCUUCAGGCUUCAAUCUAAUGCUUUAUUGAUCACUUCGUUUGUUUAUCCUCACAAGCACCACAUGUAGGAUUUGGGACUGGAUUUUGAACUGUUUGGGGCUGGCUUGUUAGGCCAUUACUAUUCAAAAUUUUAAUUUGCUCAGCUCAACUUUUAGAGGAUGGCCUGUUUACACCCUUAACUAUUCAAAUGAAGCAGAUACAGAGUCCAUUUCAACAUUGAGACUAGGGAUGGAGUGCAAAAGAUCAUACAUCUUUUCGUUUAUAUUGAGGAGAACCAUGGAAGGCAAUUGGCUUUUCAGUUUCUGAGCGGUGUGUGUUUGUGGUGCUUUAAGCAUUCCUUUUGAUAUGUUUGUGGUGCUUUUCAGUUUCUUUUCCCAUAUUUUUUACUUAUUACUUGAUUAUGUACUUAAGUUACAUGGGUUUGUGUUUGUUUGGAAAAGAAAAGCUCUUUUGAAUAAUUCUAAUGUCAUAAUGUAGUUUGCCAAACUCAAUUUAUGGAUCUCAAUGCAGAUGUCUUAUGGGCCACAGAUUUUGGCGAGGUUGUUAUAUUAAACGUAAGGCGUGUUUGGAUGCAAGGCAUGCUCAGUUGAAUUGAACUAAAGGAAACAAAGAAAAAUGGAAAAAAAAAUCUUGAAUCAGGUAUCAUUAUUCUAAUUUGAAUGAGGUUGGCAUUGCAUAUCAUGUAUUUUAAUUCAGACUCAAAAUCAUCUGAAUUUGCAGUUUCGGCCUUUUCCCCUCUAGUAAUGUGCUUGUUACUCAUUUUUUGUCAAAGCGAAUGCUUUUUUGAAUUUGAAUGAAAUUAA